rnacentral:rRNA from 1 species
GACGAACGCUGGCGGCGUGCUUAACACAUGCAAGUCGAACGGUGAAGCGCCUUCCUUUUUGGUGGGUGUGGAUGAGUGGCGAACGGGUGAGUAACACGUGAGUAACCUGCCCCCUUCUUCUGGAUAACCGCAUGAAAGUGUGGCUAAUACGGGAUAUUCUGGGUCUGUCGCAUGAUGGGUCUGGGAAAGAUAUUGUUUCGGUGGGGGAUGGCCUCGCGGCCUAUCAGCUUGUUGGUGGGGUGAUGGCCUACCAAGGCGGUGACGGGUAGCCGGCCUGAGAGGGUGGACGGUCACACUGGGACUGAGACACGGCCCAGACUCCUACGGGAGGCAGCAGUGGGGAAUAUUGCACAAUGGGCGCAAGCCUGAUGCAGCGACGCCGCGUGAGGGAUGGAGGCCUUCGGGUUGUGAACCUCUUUCGCCAGUGAAGCAGGCCUGCCUCGUUUGUGGGUGGGUUGACGGUAGCUGGAUAAGAAGCGCCGGCUAACUACGUG